rnacentral:rRNA from 1 species
GUGCACCAGGCGCGAAACCUCCGCAAUGCGCGAAAGCGCGACGGGGCCACCCCGAGUGCCGCCCGCUGAGGGCGGCUUUUCCCCGGUGUAGACAGCCGGGGGAAUAAGGGGAGGGCAAGUCUGGUGUCAGCCGCCGCGGUAAUACCAGCUCCCCGAGUGGUGGGGACGAUUAUUGGGCCUAAAGCGUCCGUAGCCGGCCCGGCAAGUCUCCCGUUAAAUCCAGCGAUCUAAUCGCUGGACUGCGGGAGAUACUGUCGGGCUAGGGGGCGGGAGAGGCCGGCGGUAUUCCCGGGGUAGGGGUGAAAUCCUAUAAUCCCGGGAGGACCACCAGUGGCGAAGGCUGCCGGCUGGAACGCGCCCGACGGUGAGGGACGAAAGCCGGGGGAGCGAACCGGAUUAGAUACCCCGGUAGU